CAGGCCUUGACAUCCAAUGAACUUUCCAGAGAUGGAUUGGUGCCUUCGGGAACAUUGAGACAGGUGCUGCAUGGCUGUCGUCAGCUCGUGUCGUGAGAUGUUGGGUUAAGUCCCGCAACGAGCGCAACCCUCAUCUCCAGUUGCUACCAUUUAGUUGAGCACUCUGGCGAAACCGCCUCGGAUAACGGGGAGGAAGGUGGGGAUGACGUCAAGUCCUCAUGGCCUUUAUGUCCAGGGCUACACACGUGCUACAAUGGCCGGUACAAACCGCUGCAAACCCGCGAGGGGGAGCUAAUCGGAAAAAGCCGGCCUCAGUUCGGAUUGGAGUCUGCAACUCGACUCCAUGAAGCUGGAAUCGCUAGUAAUCGUGGAUCAGCAUGCCACGGUGAAUACGUUCCC
rnacentral:rRNA from 1 species